rnacentral:misc_RNA from 1 species
AUUUGAAUAAGAGGUCCUGAAGCAGCCUCAGAUAAACAAGAGGAAACACAUAACAAAAAGCAAAACUAACUAAUCUGGAAAAGAUCUCAUGAUCCAAUAGCCUGAAAAUUUUUUAACUUCAACUAUGCUCCAUCUAAAGAUACAGCUCAUCUUAGACAUCAAAUAUUGAAAUUUCAGGGUGAAAUUUAAAAACUCUCAGAGAAAAGUCUACCAAGCCAUGUAGUGGGUGCAUGGGUGCAGCUGUUUAUCCUACAAUAAGUAACAAAGAGCUCCAAAUACACAAAAUAAACAAGUACAAGGAACACAACCUAACAUCACUACGAGAACAAGCAUACUAAACAGAGAAAUGACUGGUUGCUAAUAAGAUGGCAUAAAUUUAAUUUUAAUUCUUCUAUAACUAAAUUGGCUUAUUAUUUCCAAAUAAAAGUUUGACAUGCAAUGCCUUUGAUAUAUUUUACCAAGAGUUGCACAAAUAUAUUAUAGUAAAUGGAAUAA